CACGUAGGGGGCAAGCGUUGUCCGGAUUUAUUGGGCGUAAAGAGCUCGUAGGCGGUUCGGUAAGUCGGGUGUGAAACCUCCAGGCUCAACCUGGAGACGCCACCCGAUACUGCUGUGACUAGAGUCCGGUAGGGGAGCGUGGAAUUCCUGGUGUAGCGGUGAAAUGCGUAGAUAUCUGGAGGAAUACCGGUGGCGAAGGCGGCAUCCUGGACCGGCAUUGACGCUGAGGAGCGAAAGCCAGGGGAGCAAACGGG
rnacentral:rRNA from 1 species